AACUAGAACACAUUAAAGAAAUGUGUUGCUUUUCUUGCGUGCUCCAGAGGAAGCUGAGGCAUCCCUGCUUAAGAACCAGUGGUUACAUUUUUCCUCUGCUAGGUCCUGGAUACUGUCUCCAUGGUGAUAACAGCUGUGCCAUGUCAUUAUCAAUCCACCAACAGAAAGAGAAGCUUUUAAGCCAAGAUAAUGUUUAGCAGACAGCAGGGUUUCUGUUGGACACUAAGUACUGGUACAAAA